GACAGAGGUGCCGAGCGUUAGGCGGAAUCACUGGGCUUAAAGCGUGUGUAGGCGGGUCGUUAAGUACCUUGUGAAAUCCCCCGGCUCAACCGGGGAAUGGCUGGGUAUACUGGCGAUCUUGAGCGAUCCAGGGGCAGAUGGAACAAGUGGUGGAGCGGUGAAAUGCGUAGAUAUCACUUGGAACGCCAAAGGUGAAGACAGUCUGCUGGGGAUCUGCUGACGCUGAGACACGAAAGCCAGGGGAGCGAACGGG
rnacentral:rRNA from 1 species